rnacentral:tRNA from 1 species
CCGACUUUAGCUCAGUUGGUAGAGCGGAGRACUGUAGUGGGAKAWAAAAUCCUGAAUUUGUAAUCCUUAGGUCGCUGGUUCGAAUCCGGCAAGUCGGA